rnacentral:rRNA from 1 species
UGCUACUUUAUAGGAGGUCCAGCCUGCCCAGUGAUAAAAUUAAACGGCCGCGGUACCCUAACCGUGCAAAGGUAGCGCAAUCACUUGUUCUUUAAAUGAGGACUAGUAUGAACGGCAUCACGAGGGUUACACUGUCUCCCCACUCUACUCAGUGAAACUGAUCCCCCCGUGAAGAAGCGGGGAUAAAUAUAUAAGACGAGAAGACCCCAUGGAGCUUAAAACUCAGUCUUACCUGCCAUCUAAAAAACCUAGAAACCACGCAGUACUAAUGACUAGUUUUCGGUUGGGGUGACCGCGGAGAAAAACAAAUCCUCCACGACGAAAGGACCUAUCCACCUAACCCAAGAGGUACACCUCUAAGAAUCAACACAUUGACCAACUGAUCCAAUUUUUUGAUCAACGGACCAAGUUACCCUGGGGAUAACAGCGCAAUCCAUUUCAAGAGCUCAUAUCGACAAAUGGGUUUACGACCUCGAUGUUGGAUCAGGGUAUCCAAGUGGCGCAGCCGCUACUAACGGUUCGUUUGUUCAACGAUUAAAACCCUACGUGAUCUGAGU